GACGAACGCUGGCGGCGUGCUUAACACAUGCAAGUCGAACGGAGAGGCCCUGCUUUUGUGGGGUGCUCGAGUGGCGAACGGGUGAGUAACACGUGAGUAACCUGCCCUUGACUUUGGGAUAACUUCAGGAAACUGGGGCUAAUACCGGAUAGGAGCUCCUGCUGCAUGGUGGGGGUUGGAAAGUUUCGGCGGUUGGGGAUGGACUCGCGGCUUAUCAGCUUGUUGGUGGGGUAGUGGCUUACCAAGGCUUUGACGGGUAGCCGGCCUGAGAGGGUGACCGGCCACAUUGGGACUGAGCUACGGCCCAGACUCCUACGGGAGGCAGCAGUGGGGAAUAUUGCACAAUGGGCGGAAGCCUGAUGCAGCAACGCCGCGUGCGGGAUGACGGCCUUCGGGUUGUAAACCGCUUUCGCCUGUGACGAAGCGUGAGUGACGGUAAUGGGUAAAGAAGCACCGGCUAACUACGUG
rnacentral:rRNA from 1 species